UACGUAAGGGUGCAAGCGUUAAUCGGAAUUACUGGGCGUAAAGCGUGCGCAGGCGGUUUUGUAAGUCUGUCGUGAAAUCCCCGGGCUCAACCUGGGAAUUGCGAUGGAGACUGCAAGGCUAGAAUCUGGCAGAGGGGGGUAGAAUUCCACGUGUAGCAGUGAAAUGCGUAGAGAUGUGGAGGAACACCGAUGGCGAAGGCAGCCCCCUGGGUCAAGAUUGACGCUCAUGCACGAAAGCGUGGGGAGCAAACAGG
rnacentral:rRNA from 1 species